CUGGAGCCCUGCUGGGGCCCUGUUGGGAUCCACUGGGACCCUGGUGGGACCAGCUGGGACCCUGCUGGGACCAACGGGGACCCCCUGGAACCCUGCUGGGGCCCUGUUGGGAUCCACUGGGACCCUGGUGGGACCAGCUGGGACCCUGCUGGGACCAACGGGGACCCCCUGGAACCCUGCUGGGGCCCUGUUGGGAUCCACUGGGACCCUGGUGGGACCAGCUGGGACCCUGCUGGGCCCCACGGGGACCCCCUGGAACCCUGCUGGGGCCAACUGGGAUCCACUGGGACCCCGGUGGGACCAGCUGGGACCCUGCUGGGCCCCACGGGGACCCCCUGGAACCCUGCUGGGGCCAACUGGGAUCCACUGGGACCCCGGUGGGACCAGCUGGGACCCUGCUGGGCCCCACGGGGACCCCCUGGAACCCUGCUGGGGCCAACUGGGAUCCACUGGGACCCCGGUGGGACCAGCUGGGACCCUGCUGGGCCCCACGGGGACCCCCUGGAACCCUGCUGGGGCCAACUGGGAUCCACUGGGACCCCGGUGGGACCAGCUGGGACCCUGCUGGGCCCCACGGGGACCCCCUGGAACCCUGCUGGGGCCCUGUUGGGAUCCACUGGGACCCUGGUGGGACCAGCUGGGACCCUGCUGGGACCAACGGGGACCCCCUGGAACCCUGCUGGGGCCAACUGGGAUCCACUGGGACCCCGGUGGGACCAGCUGGGACCCUGCUGGGACCAACUGGGGUCAACUGGAACCCUGCUGGGGCCAACUGGGAUCCACUGGGACCCUGCUGGGACCAGCUGAGACCCGCUGGGUCCCUGCUGGGACCAACUGGGAGCCAACUGGGAUCAAGCAGGAAUAACUGGAAGCAACUGAGGUCAAGCGGGAUCAACUGGGACCAUGCUGGCAUCAACUGGGGGCCAACUGGGAUCAACCAGGACCAUGCUGGGAUCAACUGGGGGCCAACUGGGAUGAACUGGGACCAUGUUGGGAUCGACUGGGAUCAAUAGGAACUGUACUGGAGCCAACCGGGACACUGCUGGAUUCAACUGGGAUCAACCGGGACCAUGUUGGGAUCGACUGGGACCAACUGGGAGCCGCCCCCACCCAAACUGGCCUGGAACUGGGCCGGCGACCCCUCC
rnacentral:lncRNA from 1 species